UUUAUCUUGCUACGUAGAUUAACGAAUUUAAUCACGUUAGGCGCGAAAUUUCCAUUCAGAUAAAUUAAGGUGUUAGAUUUGAGAUAUUUGCUUGAAAUGUAGAGCUAUUCAGCGGUAUUUGUGUUGUAGUAACUGAAAUCGUACUUUUAGAAGCCAUGUAUUGUUUAUUUACUGUAGAUUACUUCUGCUACUAUGAAAAUCUUGUUAACAAUGCAAAGGAGAACAUAGCUCAUUUUUUACAUUUCCGAAAUUGUGACUUCCGGUUUUACUUCUGGUUUAAAAAUAGCGUAUAGUUGCUUACGUUUUAGUCUGUUCAUAAACAGAUUCACAUUUUCGUGAUCCUCGUCAAAUUUGGGGUCGAGUUUAAGGGUCAGCUCAAAAUACCCGAAAAUCGUCAAAAAUCGCUAAUUUCCCUGAAUUCCAUGAAAAUUCGCGAUUUUGGCCAAAUCCAGCUUUUGGCUGAAAACACAUCAGUCAUAUCCCAAAUUUUAUAAGGAUUACGAAAAUUCUAUUCGUUUUGUCAUAGGGUCAAUAUUUUCGUGGAUAUUGGCUACUUCCGGUGACUUCCGGAAAAAUUUUACGUGAUUUUUCAGAAAGUAAAAAAUGAACUAUAUUCUUCCCACCGUUUUUAGUAAUUUCAUCUUAACUAAUCAGAUUUGGUGGCCCUUUUCCCUUGUUUUUCUGCUAUCUACGGUAUUGGUUGAUCUUACGACAUGUAUGCGGUUGAACAGAUGUGAAAUGUUUAGCGCCUUGUUCUGCAGUGAAACUACUCACUUAAUUUUUUAUUAUCGCGCUAUCAAAAUAUAGUUAGAUGUCUGAAAUAGUAACGAUCAAAUACGUAAAGCGCUAAGUUUCGCACUUUUUGAAGAUAUAUCUUUUUUCAUUGGCUAUCAGAUACGGAUACUAGAUGGCGUUGUUGUUCCCCACUAUACUGAUUGCUUGUAAUUAAUUAAAUCGAUGUCUGUUAAUUUUCUUAACUGUUUGUGGUGUGCUUCAAAGAAAUAUUCAUGUAAAAAUUAACGUUCCGAUUGUUAUCAGCUAUGCCAGCUGCUCAGCUAGGAAAUUGUAGGCUAUCUAUACUUUUGCCUUUUAUCAUGACAUUUACUCAUGUAAAAGGCUUGUUGUACUUAACGCUGGAGCUUGAAUGCUUGAUUCUGAAACUUGAAUGCUUGAUACUGAAGCUUGAAUGUCAACAGUUUUCAUCUAAUUAGUGUUAUCAGACAUUGAUCAUCAAUGUUUCAUGUAAACAAUCUUCUCUAUUUGGCAUGCAAGAAAAAUUUGAUUUAGCACCACUGCAUUACGGUGAACCAUGAGGGGAGUGUGACUAGUUCAACUUCGUGUUCCAAUUUUCACCGUCGUCUUCAUCUUUGUGACUAAACCGACCAACAUUCACCUACCUGAACGUCAUCGCUUCAUUAUGAGAUUGCCAAUGGUAAACAAAUAAUUCCUGAUCUUCCCCUUUUCUUCCGCCUCAUCAUCUUCAUCUCAUCGUCUUCAAGCUGGUCGUCUUUGCCUUACAGCUUUUAACCUGGUCGUCUUGGCUUCGCCGCCGUUUUCGCCUGGCCUUCUCCAUCUCGUCGAUUUGUCGCAUCGUCUUGGAUCUCGCCUGUCUUCGCCUCAUCGGUGUCGUCGUGGAGCCUCGUGUUUUUGGUAUUGUUUUGUUUUGUUGUUUAGUGUAUGUUGUAAGUUAACCCGUUGGCUGCCACCCAUUUUGCUCCCCUUUUUUUUUUAGUUGUAGGGACCGGCGGCGCUGUUCUACCCCAUGGCUGAUCGACCAUGGGGUGGGGCAGUCGCCUUGCGCCUUAGGGCGCCGUAGGCAAUGCACCAGUAGGGACUUCCCCUUGUCGAUGCGAUGGUGGAGUACCUGGGGUGUGCAUUCCCGUAAAGGUCUCCAUUGUCAAGUCAGCCCGGACUUGUCUUCGGACAAGUCCCCCUUUCAUCGAAUCCCUCAGAAACGAUGCGUAGCGACUGUAGUAGAACAACCUACGGGUUGUAAUGGCUUGGCAGCCAACGGGUUAACUUAGUGUUUGUGUAUAUGUGUAUGUAUGUUUGUAUUGUAUAACUUGUAAUGUAUUGAAUAACAUGUUAUGUAAAAUAGUGGUGGAAUUGUGGGUGGAGGUGGGAUAAUACAAAAUCAAUUCCUUUUA
rnacentral:lncRNA from 1 species